GAUGAACGCUGGCGGCGCGCCUAACACAUGCAAGUCGAACGGACGAUGAAGAGCUUGCUUUUCAAAGUUAGUGGCGGACGGGUGAGUAACGCGUGGGUAACCUGCCUCAUACAGGGGAAUAGCAGCUGGAAACGGCUGAUAAAACCGCAUAAGCGCACAGUGCCGCAUGGCACAGUGUGAAAAACUCCGGUGGUAUGAGAUGGACCCGCGUCUGAUUAGCUGGUUGGCGGGGUAACGGCCCACCAAGGCGACGAUCAGUAGCCGGCCUGAGAGGGUGAUCGGCCACAUUGGGACUGAGACACGGCCCAAACUCCUACGGGAGGCAGCAGUGGGGAAUAUUGCACAAUGGGGGAAACCCUGAUGCAGCGACGCCGCGUGAAGGAAGAAGUAUCUCGGUAUGUAAACUUCUAUCAGCAGGGAAGAUA
rnacentral:rRNA from 1 species